GAACAUAUAGAAGGAAGAGAAGAUGGAGGAAGAGAGUGAAAUUGGAGAACAUCGAAAUUGAAGUUGGUAUGCAAGAAUGAGGAGGAAAAUUAAGAAAAAGAAGCUAAAAGAAAAAGAAGAAGAAGCAAGUGUUGUGUAGUGUUGGAUUAGGGUUAGAUUCAAAAAAUAGAUAAAAGGUUUGAAUCGGAGUUUGAGCUUAUGGACUGAUCCCCACCUACGCA
rnacentral:lncRNA from 1 species